rnacentral:tRNA from 1 species
GCCUGGGUGGCUCAGUCGGUUGGGCGUCUGACUUCAGCUCAGGUCACGAUCUCAUGGUCCGUGAGUUCAAGCCCCGUGUCGGGCU